GACAGAGGGGGCAAGCGUUGCUCGGAAUCACUGGGCGUAAAGGGCGCGUAGGCGGGAUGGCAAGUCGGUCGUGAAAUCCCUGGGCUCAACUCAGGAGGGUCGGCCGAUACUGCCGUUCUUGAGGGAUGCAGAGGAGACUGGAAUUCCCGGUGUAGCGGUGAAAUGUGUAGAGAUCGGGAGGAACACCGGUGGCGAAGGCGGGUCUCUGGGCAUUCCCUGACGCUGAGGCGCGAAAGCGUGGGGAGCAAACGGG
rnacentral:rRNA from 1 species